rnacentral:lncRNA from 1 species
CGGCAGAAAGCCAACCUGCGGAUCCGCUUCAAACCGUCCCUCUUCCAGCACGUGGGCACUCACUCCUCGCUGGCUGGCAAGAUCCAGAAACUGAAGGACAAAGACUUUGGAAAGCAGGCGCUGCGGAAGGAGCAUGUGAACCCGCCAGCAGAGGUGAGCACGAGCCUGAAGACAUACCAGCACUUCACCCUGGAGAAAGCCUACCUGCGCGAGGACUUCUUCUGGGCCUUCACCCCUGCCGCGGGGGACUUCAUCCGCUUCCGCUUCUUCCAACCUCUAAGACUGGAGCGGUUCUUCUUCCGCAGUGGGAACAUCGAGCACCCGGAGGACAAGCUCUUCAACACGUCUGUGGAGGUGCUGCCCUUCGACAACCCUCAGUCAGACAAGGAGGCCCUGCAGGAGGGCCGCACCGCCACCCUCCGGUACCCUCGGAGCCCCGACGGCUACCUCCAGAUCGGUGGGCUCCUUCUACAAGGGAGUGGCAGAGGGAGAGGUGGACCCAGCCUUCGGCCCUCUGGAAGCACUGCGCCUCUCGAUCCAGACGGACUCCCCUGUGUGGGUGAUUCUGAGCGAGAUCUUCCUGAAAAAGGCCGACUAAGCUGCGGGCUUCUGAGGGUACCCUGUGGCCAGCCCUGAAGCCCACAUUUCUGGGGGUGUCGUCACUGCCGUCCCCGGAGGGCCAGAUACGGCCCCGCCCAAAGGGUUCUGCCUGGCGUCGGGCUUGGGCCGGCCUGGGGUCCGCCGCUGGCCCGGAGGCCCUAGGAGCUGGUGCUGCCCCCGCCCGCCGGGCCGCGGAGGAGGCAGGCGGCCCCCACACUGUGCCUGAGGCCCGGAACCGUUCGCACCCGGCCUGCCCCAGUCAGGCCGUUUUAGAAGAGCUUUUACUUGGGCGCCCGCCGUCUCUGGCGCGAACACUGGAAUGCAUAUACUACUUUAUGUGCUGUGUUUUUUAUUCUUGGAUACAUUUGAUUUUUUCACGUAAGUCCACAUAUACUUCUAUAAGAGCGUGACUUGUAAUAAAGGGUUAAUGAAG